AACAGCUAGAGGCAACAACACGGAUGGAUCUUACAAGCCUGAUGUGGAACAAGAGAAGCCCGUUCAGAGACUAAGUGAAUGGAUUUAUGUGGUAUGCAAAAACAGGCAAAACCAAAUUAUAGUGUUUUGGGAGGUAUGCUUACAUAGUAAAGCUCUGAAGGAAAACAAAGAAAAGGAGACUAAAGAGAAUGACAACUUACGCAAUGCAGAAUCCUGGAUUGGAUCCUAGAUCCAAUCAAUGUGUAGGGAGAUUCUGUUGCUCAGGCUGGAGUGCAGUGGCAUGACCAUAGCUCACUGCAGCUGCAGGCUCAAGCAACCCUCCUGCCUCAGCCACCCAAAGAGCUAAGAUUACAGAAGCCUUUUUCGGCAAGGCACAGUGGCUCAUACCUGUAAUCCCAGCACUCUGGGAGGCUGAGGCAGGAGGAUAACUUGAACCCAGGAAUUUGAAAACUGGGCAACAUGGGGAGACUCCGUCUUUUAUUUUUUCUAUUAUUUAUUUAUUUUUUUAAAAGCCUUUUUCCCAGAUGCAAACUUACUCAAAACCCAACACAAAUCAGAAAAGUAAAUCUUCUCUGGCUAAAGCAGAGGCUAGGAUCCAGCUCAGCCUAUCUCAAACCCUUGUGAAUCAGUGCCAUAAAACGUGAGGACUGCAGAAAACAGUGUAAAAGCCAAAACGACUACCUUGCUGCUUCAUCAAGUAUAUAUAAGCUGCUUCUUAUUCCACUAUUCAGAUUAACAACAGAUUCUGGAGACAUUUUCUCUAUCCCCUAUUAAGAACCAACACACACACACACACACACAC
rnacentral:antisense_RNA from 1 species